rnacentral:rRNA from 1 species
CGGAACGGGUGGGUAACGCGUGAGGAACCUGCCUCAAAGAGGGGGACAACAGUUGGAAACGACUGCUAAUACCGCAUAAGCCCACGGCUCGGCAUCGAGCAGAGGGAAAAGGAGCAAUCCGCUUUGAGAUGGCCUCGCGUCCGAUUAGCUAGUUGGUGAGGUAACGGCCCACCAAGGCGACGAUCGGUAGCCGGACUGAGAGGUUGAACGGCCACACUGGGACUGAGACACGGCCCAG